GAUGAACGCUGGCGGCGUGCCUAACACAUGCAAGUCGAACGGAAAGGCCCGGCGCUUGUGGGGUGCUCGAGUGGCGAACGGGUGAGUAACACGUGAGUAACAUGUCCUUGUCUUUGGGAUAACUUCAGGAAACUGGGGCGAAUAUCCGGUAGGAGCUCCUGCUGCAUGGUGUGGGAUGGUAAGUUACGGCGGUGGGGGAUCGGAUCGAGGCUUAUCAGCUUGUUGGUGGGGUAGUGGCUUACCAAGGCUUUGACGGGUAGCCGGCGUUGGAGCUUGACCAGCGACAUGGGGACUAAGGGACGGCCCAGUCUCCUACCGGACGCAGCAGGGGAGAACAUUGCGCAGUGGGCCGGAGUCUGAUGCUGAGACGCCGCGUGCGGAAAGCCGUCCUUCUGGUUGUAAACCGCUUUCGCCUUUGACGAAGCGUGAGUGACGGUAACGGAUAAGAAAGCACCGGCUAACUACGUG
rnacentral:rRNA from 1 species